UACGUAGGGGGCUAGCGUUGUCCGGAAUCAUUGGGCGUAAAGAGCGUGUAGGCGGUCCGGUAAGUCCGCUGUGAAAGUCGGGGGCUCAACCCUCGAAUGCCGGUGGAUACUGUCGGGCUAGAGUGCGGAAGAGGCGAGUGGAAUUCCUGGUGUAGCGGUGAAAUGCGCAGAUAUCAGGAGGAACACCCGUAGCGAAGGCGGCACUCUGGGCCGAUACUGACACUGAGGAGCGAAAGCGUGGGGAGCGAACAGG
rnacentral:rRNA from 1 species